CCACUUGCAGGUAAACAGAUGGACCCACGAAGUCCUGUUGAACGGGAGAUUCACAUUUUUCGAGAGAUGUUUGUUGCACUCUUGUCCCUUAACGGGAGAGGAUGCAGCAAACCUUGUCGAUUGAAAGAUGCAUUUCUCUCGUUCACGCUGGAGCUCUGACCGCUCAACUGACUUUAACUGCUUGGUGCGAUCUUUGAAUGUGGUGAUAUCUUCGGAUAUUCUUCACAUUCAGGGAAGGUAAGUUAAGUCAGCCGAGUGGGUGAAUUACUUACAUUGUAAGUGCAUUCAGGUUGUCGGUGCAUCUUCCUUGUCAGAGGCAGUGAUUGAGGGAACUUCGGCUCUUGUAGUUGAAGCCCCUCUUUUGAUUGUCUCUAAGUGCAGGAAAAGGUGUACCAACGAUGAUCCAGAGUAAGUAGGUCGGUCAUCCAUCUGACCCGUCUUGAAACACGGACCAAGGAGCCCAACAAUUGCGCGAGUCGCUCGGUCUUGCAUAGGCCUGAGAGGCGAAAUAAACAUAACGGUAUGAUCCUGUCUACUUCUCGGAGUAACAGGCGCAAUACCAACCUGCUUAUCUUGCCUUUUGACAAGUAAGCGGAGUUCGAGCGUAAUUGUUGGUACCCGAAAGAUGGUGAACUAUACUUGGGCAAGACGAAGCCAGAGGAAACUCUGGUGGAGGUCUGUAGCGAUUCUGACGUGCAAAUCGAUCGUCAGACCUGAGUAUAGGGGCGAAAGACUAAUCGAACCAUCUAGUAGCUGGUUCCCUCCGAAGUUUCCCUCAGGAUAGCUGGUACUAGGAACUCUGUAGCACCCGGUAAAGCGAAUGAUUAGAGGUCUUGGGAUCGAAACGAUCUCAACCUAUUCUCAAACUUUAAAUGGGUGCGAGGCAUGACUUUUUUGCAUUAAAGUCUUGCUUCGUAAGAGUAGUGCCAAGUGGGCCAUUUUUGGUAAGCAGAACUGGCGCUGUGGGAUGAACCAAACGCAGAGUUAAGGAACCUAAUGCCGACGCUCAUGAGACCCCAUGAAAGGUGUUGGUUGCUAUAGACAGC
rnacentral:rRNA from 1 species